rnacentral:ncRNA from 2 species
CAUAACCACAAGGGGAGCUUGAAGCUGAGAAAGAAGGUCGCAUGACUGUUCUGACCCUUUGAACCUGUUAGAUAAUGCUAGCGCAGGGAUGUGGAUUUAUAUGAGU